rnacentral:lncRNA from 10 species
CGCCGCGGUCGUCAGCCGAGCCCGCACCGGCGUGACGUGGGCGAGCGAGCGCGCUGCUCCCACCCGGCCGCCCAUUAACGCUUUCUCCCGCGGGCGCCGCGCUCUUGCCAACUUUCCCCUCCGUCCGGUCUGCGCGCGGCGCGCCGGGUGCAGGAGCUGGGGUGAGGGCGCCCCGGGUGCCAGCAGGGGCGCUGGGAGCUGUUUGGGCGGGGACGUAGGGCUCCGGGAGGUCACACAGCCCUAACAGGACAGUGGGAAGGCGCGCGAGCCAGAUUUGGCCAAACGCUAAGCUCGCUGCGGCCUCGGGCCCUCGGCCCACGGGGCCCCUCUCCCCGUUUGGGCUGCCCCACCCAGGGACGCUUGGGCCGGGCGCGAAGAGCCCGGAAAUAGCCACCCUUGUCGUCGGCCCGGUUUCCCUCCGAGGUCUUAGUAUUUCCCCCCUCCCCCACCCCCCAAGGCCUGUGGAGGGCGAGGCUGCUGCUCCAGCCAACCCUCGGAAUUGGCUGCAGGGCGCUCAGGUCCUGCCUUUCUUCCCCUGCCCCUCUCCCAAGCCCCUCCGUGCUAAGCGGCCCAGUUCUGGGUUCUCUCCUGGUGCCCACGCUAGUCCCUAGCCGGCUCACUCUCAAAACAGCAGGCUGUGGCAGGGGCAAAGCCUAGGUCCGGGCACCAGGACCCGGGCAAGUGGGCGCGAAUGGACCACGGUGAUAAGCCGCCCGAGGACCAAUGAGUCUGUGACCUGCCCGGGCUAAGGGGGGCAUGCCCUGGUGGGGAGCCUGGUCCCAGCCGCCAGGGUUAGGGGAGGGCAUGGGGGCUGGACCUCUGGCCUGGGGUCAGACUAGGGCUGGAGGGUCUUCCGCUUCUGCAGCCUGAGGCCAGGACCCAGUCAGGGAAGGUGCGCCUGCGUGCAGCUUGCCCUGCCCCUCCCUCAGGGAGCUGGGGGGCCCCUACCCUGCCCCCGCCACCUCGCCCCCGCAGCCGGGCACAGGUCUGUUUGUCAUCCACAGAGCCGCUGCUCUGCAGAGGUCAAGACAGGCCCCGAAGGGAAGCUGGAGCAGCAGGUGACCGGCUGCCCAGGACGUUCUGUCACAAGGAGAACGCGAGAGAUGAAGUUGGUGAAGACUCUGCUUUGCAGGCAAUCUAAAAUCCUGGGUGAGUCACAGGCCCCUGGAGCAGCCGGCGCAAUGCCUAGACUGCAGCCCCUCGGGCUGGGCUGUGUGGGAGGGGACUUGUGUGUCUCUGAUGUGCCUGUGGGCAUUCCACCUGGCCUUAGACUCCCAGCCUAAGCAGGUGCUCCAGGUUCCACCUGGCCUUAGACCUCCCCGUCCUUCGUCACCGAGGCACUGACGCUCAGGGCCCCUGUACACAUCUCUGUGGGGCACGGGGAGGCGGAGUGGUUUCCCUUGUGCUCAGGGUGGAUUGGAAGCCCUUCACCACCAGGAGCCCUAACUCUGGGGUUUGGGGCAUCAGCUACUUGGCAGAGGAGGCAUCUCAUUUUGAAUCCUCUGAUCUUCAUCAUUUGGGAGAGCCCCCCACCCCACCCCACCAAAAUUGGGAAAAGCUUGGUUUUCUGUUUAAUUCUUAACAGGUUUUUGAGAACUGGGUGGAUAGACUGAUUUUCUUUGGGCUAAAUAUUUUGAAAACCAUUGAACUGGUAGUUCGAACACUUGCAUUUUGCUGAAAUCUCUCUCUGCAGCCACUGUGAGACAGAAGCCCAGAGAGGAGGCAGAAACAGCCACCUUUAUCCACAGCCAAACACGCUGUGAAGAGCGGAGACAGGUUAUACAGGAGCGAUGCUUUAAUAGGAAACCCAGAAAUAGAAUGUGUUCAGUUUGAUAAUCGUUUUAAGCUUUUCUUCCCCCUGUAGAUCGUGGUAACUUGGUUCAAUAUUAUGAGCCAUGGGUGGCGAGGAAGAGUGAAGCGUUAUUGUCAGAUAGUGGAGCGAGAUCUCUUUAUUGGCUGCAGAUCCCUGAAGCCUGUGCCCAGCAGGAAAUCAAUGUCCAUCUUUCUGGCUUCACUGCCCCCGGGAUCCUCAUUUUCCGCUUGUUUGUGUGUGGCUCUGAUUUGUUUUUAGGUCUGAUGUUGCCUGCUUCCAGAGCUCCAUUAAAGCUUCGGUGAAGUCUCCCCCAGCCCACAGGAUCAUCUCGGCAUUGACAGUGUGCCUUGCAAGGCUGGAAUGCACUGGGCCGCUCCCAGACUGCUGCCUGCAAAGCAAAAAUCCCCUCUACCAGGAUGUGGUGGGCUUCAAACUAUUGCUGUUCACCUGCAAUUCCAAUUUUGCAUGGGUGUCUCUCUAGUCCCCUCCUAGUCAGCCUCUUGUGGACUAUGGGCCAACAUUGUGGACACCUCUUGAGUCAGUGGCCCCGAAGCUGCAGUGGGGUCUGGGGUCUGGACCAGAGCAUGUUCUCAGGGCAGGCCGAGCCAUGCUGUCCGGAUGUGAGAAGGGAGCUGUGUCAGGCAGGCUGACAGGCCCUGGGGCCUGCUCCUGGGGCCACAGGGUUCUAGGGACCCAUUACUGAGGUCUGGGGGCACCAACAGACCCGGCCUGGGUGGGUGGCCAGCAGCCCAGAGCCAGAUGCAGCUGCACCUGCCUGAGUGUGUGAUGUGAUGCUGAGCUGAGAUGCACGGGAAGUGAGUUCAGUGUUCUGGAAAAGAUUCCUUCACUGAUGAAAAGAGACAGGAAGGGAGGACCUCUUUUUCCCCUGGAUAUGGUCAUAUCUCGAAGCGACCUGGGGGACCAAGCAGGUGUUAUGCCAGCAGGGGCCCCACAUUGGCCAGAGGUGCCGGGCUCUCCCCUGGGACCAUCACUUUGACUCUUAGUCUAGAAAUUAGAAGUGUGGAGCUCAACAGCUGCUGGUGUCCCCUCAUCUCACCUACAUUUAAAAACCAUUUCUCAUGGAAAAUUCCAAAUAUUUACAAAAAUAGGGAGACUUAUUGAAUAGGGAGAAGAAGUGGGCACCCGUCAGCCAGUUUCAGCACUUACAUAAUUCAUGGCCAAUCUUACCCAUUUUCCCCAACCAAUUUGCUUUGGAGCAAGUUCAGGGUAUCAUAUCUGUAAAAAAAAACACAUAGACAAAAAACAAAACAAAACAAAAGAAAACAAAACUCAUAUGAAUAUCAUAUGUGAAAAGGCAACAAUUCUUUUCAUGUUUUUACAUUUUUAAAUUAUUUCAUUUUAUUUUAUUUGUGGAGACAGGAUCUCACUAUGUUGCCCAGGCUGGUCUUGAACUCCUGGGCUCAAGCAAUCUCCAUGCCUCAGCCUCCCGAAAUGCUGGGAUUACAGGUGUGAGCUACCAUGCCUGGCCCAAUAAUUCUUUAAUAUCUUCAAAUACACAAUGUUUCCGUUUCUUUGCUUUUUGACAGUUUAUUUGUUUUUAUGUUUUAUUUUUAAAUAACAGGUUUCUUGAGAAACAAUUUGCAUAACAUUUACUCUUUUAAACUGUACAAUUGAGUGAUUUUUAGUACUUUCAUGAACUUGUGCAACCAUGACCAUAGAUUGCAGAACAAUUUCAUUACCCCCCAAAAAGAAUGCUGUUUCCAUGAGCAGUGGCUCCCUGCGCAUCCCCAGCCCCCAUUUCAGGGUGAUGGGACUCUCCGCCUUGGUCCUCUCUGCCUCUCUGAGUUCUGUGUGAGGGGUUAGAUCCUGGCCCUCCCUGCCUCUCCACAUCUGCAUAUUCAUUUCCAGUUUAUGUGAAUCUUCGGGAUCCUGUGACAGUGACGUUGAGCUCAGUUGAUGUGUCCCUUAAGCUUCUGAGGCCUUCAGGUUUCCCAUCCACCUUUCAUUGGUUUGUGUACUGUUUUGCGGUUGUUCCUUCAUGAUAAUCUACAGAACCACCAUCCCAUCCGUGGACGCUUGUUUCCAGAAACAUCGCGACGUGGUGUCUGACUGUGUGCAUAACCCAGCAGAAGAGCUCUCCGAGACCUAGAGCCGGGGAAACAGACUUAAAACCCAGGGAUGCAGGAGCCCUUUGCUGGCUUGUCUUCUCCUUCUGUUGCUCAUUCCUUGAGUCUCUUUAUUAAGAAUUUGUAGCAAAGUUCCCUGGAACAAUAAGCUUUCUCUUAUAAACUCAAUUGAUUUUAUGGUACUCAGAAGUGUUUUUCGUAAGCACCUCAUUGGAAAAAUAUUCUUCAGUAGUCUCUGCCAGCAAAUUGACAUGAAAAAAGAGUAGAAUUCACUGGACAGCUUUUCCAUGGUUUAAUCCAUUGCCCCAAUUUUGAGACUUUAGGAAGAGCCAAUAACACGAAUCACAGUGUGUCAUCUAAAAGGCUCUAAAUCACAGUGCAGCAGGAUGCCAAGCAUGAGACAAACAACGGUCCUCUUGCCAAGAAGCAACCACCACCAGCCGUUCCCAAGGGCCCAGACUCACGAAUUCCACCCAGGCACUGAUGAACACUUUCUUCCUUGCUCAGGCCUGGAAGAGUGGUAGGCCCUUAGCAAAUGAGCCAGAUUGAAGAGAUGAAUGAAUUUGUGUACUCACAGUGGCUCCCAUCCCAACCAGUGGCUCUAAUGGGAUCUCCCCUAGCCCUGUUUAUUCAGGUGCCCACCUUCCCUGCUUGUGGCCUCCAGAAAGGGUGACCGUAUCCUCAGCUCCAAGGGUCAGUCCAAUUGGCUCAAGGCAGUCACUAUGGUCUCACCCCCUGCCCCAGUGAUGGCUCGAGUUUGUAUUAGUUAUCUCUUUCUACCUAACCAGUUGACUUAAGCUUUGGCAGCUUAAAACAACACACCAUUAUCUCUCAGAGGUUCUGUGGGCUGUGGACGUGGGCAGAAUUUACAUGGCUCCUCUGCUUCUGUAUCUCCUUACAAGGCCACAACGUGUCAGCCAGGGCUACCGUCUCAUCUGAAG